UGGGGGAUAUUGCACAAUGGGGGAAACCCUGAUGCAGCGACGCCGCGUGGAGGAAGAAGGUUUUCGGAUUGUAAACUCCUGUCGUUAGGGACGAUAAUGACGGUACCUAACAAGAAAGCACCGGCUAACUACGUGCCAGCAGCCGCGGUAAAACGUAGGGUGCAAGCGUUGUCCGGAAUUACUGGGUGUAAAGGGAGCGCAGGCGGGAAGACAAGUUGGAAGUGAAAACCAUGGGCUCAACCCAUGAAUUGCUUUCAAAACUGUUUUUCUUGAGUAGUGCAGAGGUAGAUGGAAUUCCCGGUGUAGCGGUGGAAUGCGUAGAUAUCGGGAGGAACACCAGUGGCGAAGGCGGUCUACUGGGCACCAACUGACGCUGAGGCUCGAAAGCAUGGGUAGCAAACA
rnacentral:rRNA from 1 species